UACGUAGGGGGCAAGCGUUGUCCGGAUUUAUUGGGCGUAAAGAGCGUGUAGGCGGCCAAGCAGGUCAGCUGUGAAAACUCGAGGCUCAACCUCGAGACGUCGGUUGAAACCGCUUGGCUAGAGUCCGGAAGAGGAGAGUGGAAUUCCCGGUGUAGCGGUGAAAUGCGUAGAGAUCGGGAGGAACACCAGUGGCGAAGGCGGCUACCUGGACCAGCACUGACACUGAGGCACGAAAGCGUGGGGAGCAAACAGG
rnacentral:rRNA from 1 species